UUCUCGUAUAAAAGUGUGUAGCACUUCGCUUUCUCUCUCCUGCUCCUUCUGCCAUGAUUGUAACUUUUCUGAAGCCUCCCCAGUCAUGCUUCUUGUACAGUCUGCAGAACGGCAUAUAGGAAGAAGGGACUUGCCCUGUCUCGGAUGAGACUGUGGACCAUGGACAUUUGAGUUAAUGCUGAAAUGAGUUAAGCCUAUGGAGAACUAUUGGAAAGGCAUGAUUGGCUUUGAAAUGUGAAGACAUGAGAUUUGGGAGGGGCCAUGGGCAGAAUGAUAUGGUUUUGCUUUGUUCCCACCCAAAUGUCAUCUUGAAUUGUAACUCCCAUAAUUCCCAUGUGUUGUGGGAGGGACCCAGUAAAAGAUAAUUUAUUCAUGGGGUUGGUUUCUCCCAUACUGUUCUUGUGGUAGUGAAUAAGUCUCAAGAGAGCUGAUGGUUUUAUAAGGGUUUUCCCUUUUCACUUGGUUUUCAUUUUCCCUCAUGUCUGCCACCAUGUAAGAUGCGCCUUUCGCUUUCCACCAUGAUUGUGAGGCCUCCCCAGCCACGUGGAACUGUGAGUUCAAUAAACCUCAU
rnacentral:lncRNA from 10 species